GCCAGGGUAGCUCAGUCGGUUAGAGCACAGGAUUCAUAUCCCUGAGGUCGUGGGUUCGAUCCCCACCCCUGGUACUA
rnacentral:tRNA from 2 species